GACGAACGCUGGCGGCGCGCCUAACACAUGCAAGUCGAACGGAAUGACACGCGGCAGAGUCCUUCGGGACAAAGCUUGUGUCAUUUAGUGGCGGACGGGUGAGUAACGCGUGAGGAACCUGCCUUUCAGAGGGGGAUAACGGUUGGAAACGACCGCUAAUACCGCAUAACGUGUUUGGAUGACAUCAUCCUGAUACCAAAGGAGCAAUCCGCUGAAAGAUGGACUCGCGUCCGAUUAGCCAGUUGGCGGGGUAAAGGCCCACCAAAGCAACGAUCGGUAGCCGGACUGAGAGGUUGAACGGCCACAUUGGGACUGAGACACGGCCCAGACUCCUACGGGAGGCAGCAGUGGGGAAUAUUGCACAAUGGAGGAAACUCUGAUGCAGCGACGCCGCGUGAGGGAAGAAGGUCUUCGGAUUGUAAACCUCUGUCCCUGGUGACGAUAAUGACGGUAGCCAGGGAGGAAGCCACGGCUAACUACGUG
rnacentral:rRNA from 1 species